UUGGGAAUAUUGGACAAUGGGGGGAACCCUGAUCCAGCCAUGCCGCGUGAGUGAAGAAGGCCUUCGGGUUGUAAAGCUCUUUUAUAGGGGGAGAUGAUGACGGUACCCUAUGAAUAAGCACCGGCUAACUUCGUGCCAGCAGCCGCGGUAAUACGAAGGGUGCUAGCGUUGUUCGGAAUUACUGGGCGUAAAGGGCAUGUAGGUUGUGCGAUAAGUUAGUGGUGAAAUCCCGGGGCUUAACCUCGGAAUUGCCAUUGAUACUGUUGCGCUAGAGUAUAGGAGAGGAUAGCGGAAUACCCAGUGUAGAGGUGAAAUUUGUAGAUAUUGGGUAGAACACCGGAAGCGAAGGCGGCUAUCUGGUCUAUUACUGACGCUGAUAUGCGAAAGCGUGGGGAUCAAACAGGAUUAGAUACCCUGGUAGU
rnacentral:rRNA from 1 species